AUACAGUGAAACUGGGAUGGUGCAGUAUUCUAGUCAGUGCUGCUAAUUUUGAAGGCGGGGCUAAAAAUCCGUCAAAGGGCAUAUCGAUGAAGUUCCUGGUUUCGGCUGCCGACGCCCAGUUGGGGGUCGAUUCUGGGAGUAAGGAGGAUGGGGCGAUCCACAAAGGCAUGUGGGCGAUGACCCUACCUCCGUGGAGACCCGUUUACAUUAGUAAAUGGGAAAACCUGCAUUGUGGUGAAAGCUACAUGCAGCGUAGCCUGCCUUGAGUGAAAUAGGUGGAAAAUAGUGUAUGCUUGGAUUUCCAUGGGCCCAUGGAAUGAAGAGUUUGCUAUUGAAACCUAUUUUGCAAAAGAGGCUAGAAAUUAGCGUGGCUGUUGAGGAAAACUCCUAGACUGUUCCUGAGUGGAGGUAUGUUAGGGAUUACAGUGCGGACUAAGUGGUAAUCUAGCUCUACCUAUGGCGACAAGGUAGGAAUGGGAUUAAAGGGAAACCGCUGUAUGGCGACAUGCAGUUUCUGUUCGGGAAAUCCUGCUAGACCUUAAGCCGCAAAGUUUACCUAAUAUACUACCAUCCCAGAGACUGUUUAU
rnacentral:sRNA from 1 species